rnacentral:rRNA from 1 species
AGCUCCAGUAGCGUAUAUUAAAGUUGUUGCAGUUAAAAAGCUCGUAGUUGGAUUUCUGGCCUGACGGAGCUGACCCGCCGCUUCAUUGCGGUGCGUGUUGGACGCCGUCUGCCAUCCUCUCAGAAAACGUUUCUGCCCUUCACUGGGUUGGACUCGCGAUCUGGGACUUUUACUUUGAGGAAAUUAGAGUGUUCAAAGCAGGCUUGCGCUAUGAAUACAUUAGCAUGGAAUAUCAACUUAGGACUUUGGUUCUACUUUGUUGGUUUUCAGGAACUGAAGUAAUGAUUGAUAGGGAUAGUUGGGGGUGCUAGUAUUUCGCGGCCAGAGGUGAAAUUCUUGGAUUCGCGAAAGACUAACUUAUGCGAAAGCAUUCACCAAGGAUGUCUUCUUUAAUCAAGAA